rnacentral:rRNA from 1 species
UACGGAGGGGGCGAGCGUUGUUCGGAAUUACUGGGCGUAAAGCGCGCGUAGGCGGACUGCUAAGUCGGGUGUGAAAUCCUGGGGCUCAACCUCAGAAUUGCCUCCGAUACUGGCAGUCUCGAGUGCGGGAGAGGUGAGUGGAAUUCCCAGUGUAGAGGUGAAAUUCGUAGAUAUUGGGAAGAACACCAGUGGCGAAGGCGGCUCACUGGCCCGUAACUGACGCUGAGGUGCGAAAGCGUGGGGAGCAAACAGG